GAAGAACGCAGCGAAAUGCGAUAAGUAAUGUGAAUUGCAGAAUUCAGUGAAUCAUCGAAUCUUUGAACGCACCUUGCGCUCCUUGGUAUUCCGAGGAGCAUGCCUGUUUGAGUGUCAUG
rnacentral:rRNA from 1 species